UACGGGAGGCAGCAGUGGGGAAUAUUGCACAAUGGGCGAAAGCCUGAUGCAGCUAUGCCGCGUGUAUGAAGAAGGCCUUAGGGUUGUAAAGUACUUUCAUCGGGGAGGAAAAACAAAACUAAUAAUUUUAUUUCUUGACGUUACCCGAAAAAGAAGCACCGGCUAACUCCGUGCCAGCAGCCGCGGUAAUACGGAGGGUGCUAGCGUUAAUCAGAAUUACUGGGUGUAAAGAGCACGUAGGUGGUUUUUUUAAGUCAGAUGUGAAAUCCCUGGGCUUAACCUAGGAACUGCAUUUUGAAACUGAAAUACUAGAGUAUCGUAGAGGGAGGUAGAAUUCUAGGUGUAGCGGUGAAAUGCGUAGAUAUCUGGAGGAAUACCUGUGGCGAAAGCGGCCUCCUAAACGAAUACUGACACUGAGGUGCGAAAGCGUGGGGAGCAAACAGGGAUUAGAUACCCGU
rnacentral:rRNA from 1 species